rnacentral:rRNA from 1 species
GACGAACGCUGGCGGCGCGCUUAACACAUGCAAGUCGAGCGAUGAAGUUCCUUCGGGAAUGGAUUAGCGGCGGACGGGUGAGUAACACGUGGGUAACCUGCCUCAUAGAGGGGAAUAGCCUUCCGAAAGGAAGAUUAAUACCGCAUAAGAUUGUAGUAUCGCAUGAUACAGCAAUUAAAGGAGUAAUUCGCUAUGAGAUGGACCCGCGUCGCAUUAGCUAGUUGGUGAGGUAACGGCUCACCAAGGCGACGAUGCGUAGCCGACCUGAGAGGGUGAUCGGCCACAUUGGGACUGGGACACGGCCCAGACUCCUACGGGAGGCAGCAGUGGGGAAUAGUGCACAAUGGGGGAAACCCUGAUGCAGCAACGCCGCGUGAGUGAUGACGGUCUUCGGAUUGUAAAACUCUGUCUUCAGGGACGAUAAUGACGGUACCUGAGGAGGAAGCCACGGCUAACUACGUGCCAGCCGCCGCCGUAA